GUUGAUGAGACAGGAGGGUAAGAAGGGGAACCUUCCUUCAGGCAGAAGAACAGCAUGUGGUGAAGGUGGUGAAGAGCCUGGCCCCUCAGGAUGAGAACACUUCAGUUCCUAUGUGGGAUUUGGAAUAUAGCAGGACAAAGACAGAAGUUGGGAAACCAGACAGGAGCAAGUGACUAUGGCAGUGGCUCAGGGGUUCACAGCUAAGGGGUUGCCUUGCAUCUCAAAGAAGACUUUGGACUUGGACUUUUCAGCAAUGCUGAAACUGUUAAGACUUUGAUGACUCAGUUGGUUGAAUCCAUGGAUGAAGAACAUGGAUAUGGAGGGUCAGCUACACUUAUCUUUUGGAGAUAGGUCCUGAAGUACAUGUGGAUAAAAUAAUAUGAUGUCUAGAACUGGCUUCAAAAUCAUCCAGGAGAGAAGGUCAGAGCUUUGGGAGGCUCGGGAAGCUGUCUGAAAUCCUUGAGCACUGCCAGAUCUUGGAGAUGAAGAGACACAGUUGUGUGGUAUGCGAGGAGAGGAAGCCAGCAGAGAACUGACAUGCCGCAUUCUUUCAGAGCUCCAGCUGGCAAAAGGCUGCAUUCCCUGAACACCACUGCCAAACCUCCCAGGUGGCAGUCUCCACCCUGGGUCCAGUCUUCCCCUGGUGGGGUGGAAAGACGUUCCAGGUCUAUCUUCCCUGUAACUAGAGGUGCUAAGAGGUCAGCUGUGCAGGAGAGUGCCUUAGACUUCUGAAACCUCAGCAACCUUCAGUACAGAAUUGGAUGUAUCUCCCUAGUGCUGUCAGAGGGGAUAUGUAUUUAACAUGCUUAAGAGUUUCUUAGAAUAUUACCCUCCUUCCUGUGCAGUUUUGUGGUUUUUAUCUUUCCUAACGACUUAGCCUUCUGCUUCCUACUUUUGGUUGUUAUUUCUUUUUUCUCUAUAAUUAGAUUCAGGAAAAAAAACCAUCAAAGACUUGUGUCCUGAGAAGUUAGGGAAUCUCCUUGGAAAGAAUCUGAAAAGGAGGAAUUCAAUGUUUGUUGACUGAAUUAAAUAGUUUUAUGUUGAUCUGAAUAGAGAAGUAAAACUAUCAAUAGGGUUUAAAACCCCUGGAUAUCAGGGAAACUAUUACUGAACGUAGUAGACUGUGUGUGUUACUUUAUUUCCAUUUUACAGGUUAAGAAAUUGAAGGUCAUGAAGUUAAAUAAUUCUAAGUGCCCUUUGUUAGUGCUUUAAUUAUCUUUUUAAUCUACAAUAGGGUCACUAUAUCUUUUGGUUUCUCAUUUCUUUUGGGCCAAUAUCUGUUAUUUACAAGCGAUAUUUUGCUCAGAACCUGUCCAUUUCCUACAGUGUUUUAAAAUUUACUGUCCUACACUUAUACCUAGUAUUUGCCUUGGGAUUUAUGUGUUUUAACUUUGUAAAUCAAUUUUAUUAAGGCCUACCUUGCACAUGAUCAAUUAUGCCUGUCUUAAGUACAUGGGUCUGUGUGUUAUGACAAAGGUAUGGUAUAUGUACCUGUGUAUCAGUGCAUUCAAGACAUAGAACAUUUUUGUCACCCAUAGAAGAUUUUUUUGCUCUUUUAUGGUCAGCUCCCACCUCCAUUAAUCUGUUUUUUGUCAAUUUAGAUAUGUUUUCCCUUUUCUAGACUCAUAUAAAUGGAAUCAGACUGCCAUUCUCUUAUUUGUCUAGCAGUCUUAGAUUGAUCCACACUAUUGGCUGUAUUACAAAUUUGUCUUCUUUUUUUAUUGCUGUGUAGCAGUCUACCAAAUGGAUGAAUAUACUACAGUAUGUGUAGCAUUCUCUUGCUGUUUUCAGGGAUCACUGUGAAUAUGUAUUAGAUAGGCUUCAUACCAAAUUAUCACAAAACUUAGUGAUUUGAAACAAUAAAAAUAUUUAUAAUCUCACCUUUUUGUUGUGUCAGAAGCUUGGGUGCAGUUUAGCUGGCUGCUUCUGCUUCAUGGUUUCUUCAGAGCUGUGAGCAAAGCAUGGGCUGGGCCGCUCAUUCCUGCACUCUGCCAUUAUUUGGUAAGAUGUGGUUUCUUGCUGUCUGCUGGAAUGAAGGCUUCCAUUUUCCUCCUGGCUGUUGGCCAGAGGCAUCACUCAGUUCUUGUCAUGUGGGCCUUUCCAUAGAGACACUCACAGCUUAGCCACUAGCUUCCUUAAAGCCAGUGAGAUAGAGACGGAGAGAAAGAGAGAGAGAGAGAGAGAGAGAGAGAGAGCGCUCAAACAAUAUGAAAAGCCUAGAAUUUUGGAACUUAAUCUUGGGACUUACAGCUAAUCACUUUUGUCAUUUUCAUUUGCAAGUAGGUCACCAAGUUCAGCCCAUACUCCAGAGAAGGUUAUUUCGCUAAUAUUUGAAUUCUAAGCAGUGGGGAAUCAUUAAAAUCCAUUAAGACAGAUUCUAGGGAGGUAGAGGCUUCCUACUAUGGUAUACAACUGCUGUGAACAUUUGUGUACUAGUGCUGUGGUUUGGAUACAUGUCUCAAGAUAUGUUUCCCAAGGUCCUUGUACUAAGGCGUGAUCUCCAGGAUGAUGCUAUGAGAGGUGGUGGAACACUUAGGAGGUGAGACUUCAUAGCAGGUCCUUAGGUCAUUUGCUGGUGUGUCCUUAAAGGAAUGUGGGACCCUGGUCUCACCUCUCUUCUGUCUGGCUUUGCAUCUUGUCUCAUGAGAUGAGCAGUUUGUUUUUCAGUGCAUUCUUGCCUUAAAGUGUUAUCCUCUUCAGGGAACCACAGAAAUAAGGCUGCUGACUUUGAACCUCUGAAAUGGUAAGCCAAAAUAAACUUUUUCUCUUAGGUGUGGGUGUAGCUCAGUGGUAGAGUGCUUGCUUAGCAUGCAUGGGGCCCUGGGUUCCAUCCCCCAGUACUACAAAAAACAAACAGAUCCCCCCACUUUUCUCUCUAUGAGCUAAUUGUCUUGAGUAUUUCAUUCUAGUGAAAGCUGACCAAUAUAACAUGUCAUUUCUCUUAGGUAAAUGCCUAUGAAUGGAAUUGUUGCAUUUUGUGAUACUUUACUUUCUCUCUCUCUCUUUCCUCUUACAGAGACCAUCUGUAUUGUCAGUCUUUUUAAAAUUUCAGGUAUUAUAAGGAAUGUGAAAAUGGCCAUUAUUGUGAUUGUAGUUUGCAUUUCUCUGAUGAUUAAA
rnacentral:tRNA from 1 species